ACAAACCAAUUUAACUUAAAUAGCCAUAUUGCCACUUGUUUUAACUAAAAUGAAAUAUUUCUACCAACAAACUUUUCAUCCAUUAAACUCUUGUUAAAAACUCCAUUUUCGUUUUCAGCUGAAGGUCAGUCUACACAAAAUGAUGACUCUGAUGAGGAAGGGCAUUCCAGAAGAAAGAUAAGUCAAUAUACUACACCCAAAAAAGUUGCCAAUGAUGAGAAGUGGACUAAUUGGAAGCCAAAAUCUCUGCGCUCCAAAAAACAUCCUGCCUUAUCUGCUGAGAAGAUGAAAAGGCCAUUCGAAAGAGUAGCUGAUGCAAAAUUAGAGAUUGCAGAUUUACAGAAGAAGAUUCUGGAGGAAGAAUUCUUAAAUAAAAGAAAGCAAUGGGCCUUUGAAGAGGAAGAAAGGGAGCACAAAAGAGAAAUGUGGGCGUUGGAAAAAAAAUACUUUUUAAAUAAAUUUGAAAAAUAAA